UCCCAGGGCUGGAGGUUUAGCUCAGCGGCAUAAGCGCCUGCCUUGCAAGCAGGCAGUUGGGAGUUCAAUCCCUGGUACCGAUUAAAAAAAGACGAAGAACUAGUAUCCCAACACAGGCAGUGAGAUUAGAGUCCACGUAAAAAAAAAAAAAAAAAAAAAAAAAAAAAAAAAAAAUUCACUCCACAGUGUUGUGUGAGUAAAGUGGAAUAAUUUGAGAGAAGGGCAUGAUCAAGGAAGGCAUGACACACAGUGAGCAAUCUUGAUUAUUUUUAAAAUAUCAUACAUCUUGAUCCAGAAAUCAAGAAUUCAUUCAAAGCCCCCGAUUUUUUGUGUGAAUUCAUCAGGUGUCAUUGUGUAUGAAUGAAAUGGUUGAUAACACCAAAGACAGAGAAAAAGAAGUAAUUGAUGGGCCAGAAGCCAUCUUCCGGUACUGUCCCCCCAACCCCACUCCACCCCACCCUAUUCCAAGGCCAUUCAAACCCUGCGCAAAUCCACUAACCCCUUCCCUACCCAGCAGUGUUCAGGAUGACAUUUUUAUCGCGGAAACCCCGCCCCCCAGUGAGGGCUCGGUUUUCCAUUGGUAGAGGUUGGGGGCGGAGCUACAUCUCAAUAUUUCAACCAAUGGAUUCCUGAGGGUUUUUUUUUUUUUUUUUUCAGUUUGGUAGUCGGUUCCUCCUCCAGACCAGCAGAGGACGCAAUCCUGGGAGAGGCAGAGGCGCAAAUCCUAGGAGGCUCUUGUAUGCGGAAGUAGCGCCAUGCGACCGGAAGUUCAUGGCUUGAAGUGUCUUGCUGUGAGGGUUCCGGCGGCUGAGAAACUCGCGUUCAGUUCGUGGAGCCAGAGGUUCUGAGCGCCCCCUAACACACACAGUCUCGUAUAUUCCGAUAGGAAAAGUAAGGGCUUUGAGAGGCCGGGACUUCUAAUAUUCACUUAGCGAGAAACUGGAGGCCCGCGCGUUUCCUACACCAUCCUGAGCGGAGGAACGACCCCCAGGAGUGGGAGGUGCUCAGCCCGGGGAGUUCCAGAGGGGAGGCGAAUGGGUGGGGAAAACGGAACCCAGAAAAGGACUUGCCAAUUUACGGUUGCCAGACUUCGCAAAUAAAAUGCAGAAUGUCCAGUUCAAAGUUGACCUUAAGAUAACGAGUAAUGUUCUGUUUUCAGAGACAGGGCCUCACUAUGUAUUCAGGCUGGCCUUGAACUUAUAGUCCUUGAAUUUACAGUCAUCCUGCGUCAGUCUGCCGAGUAUGGGGAUUACAGGAAUGGGUUACUACGCUUGGAAAGUAAAUUUCAUUCUCGCAGCAAAUGGAAUGUGAAAUAGGAGAAAGGCUCUAGGAAGAGAUAUCUGUUCAAGCUAUGUGCCAGCCACUGUCACUUCAAAAGACACAGAGGACGCUCUCCGGUGAUCCUGCCUUCAACAUGGUAGUAAGUUACAACCACAUCUCACCAUAGCCAGCCACACUUUCUGCCCCAGUGUUCCAGGUGACUUUGAUAGCAGAUGCUGAUUCCAGAAGAAGAAAUUAUAUUUACCUCUCCUCAAGAAAAAGAA